CUCAAUUUGUUCAUUCAAAUGCACAUUUGAACCCUUUAAAAGGUAUUUUCAGUGACAUAACUACUCAUAUUGUGUAAAUUGUAAUUCCCGAGAAAUGUGACCGCAGAAGGUUUUGAAUUUGUCUAAUGUCUGGGGUUGUGUAGUGGGUUGUUGGUAAUAAAGGUAAAUUUCCGCUAGCGCCAAUGGGGCUCCUCGCUCC
rnacentral:rRNA from 1 species